CCACUGUCAUGGGGCUGUCUCUUCAUUGUCCCUUGCCUAGUAAUUUGCUUUUACUGGUUAUGGAUGAUUGCGAACGGUUGCCUGUAUUGUUCUACCCUUCUGGGUAGCGCAUGAUUGUCCCGUCGAUUAAUUAGCUUGUUUUGUUAACGUUAGUUGACAGGACGGCCGGGAUGUUAGCGACUUCCAAGUGUUUCCAUGUACGUUGUCAUGAUAAUGCACUUGGAUGGUUGCUGGGUCUCAUGGAUGUGGUCCCUAUUGUGAGCUCUACGGGCUACGUGCCUGCAGAACCCGUGAGGUUGCCCCUGCAUAGAACAUUGCUCUAUGGGCGCCUACAAACAUGUCGUUGUUUAAGCUUCAUGAUGUAGUGCUGUUAUCGGGGUGGUGUUGUUUGCUUGUGGCAUGCCUCUUGGACCGAACGACUUGCGAUUGUUGGCUUGCGUUAUCACACGACCCCUCCCAAUUGGGUAGGUGUUGUAGGUAACGUCCCAGCUCUCGUUUAAGAUGUGCUACCUGGUUGAUCCUGCCAGUAGUCAUAUGCUUGUC
rnacentral:misc_RNA from 1 species